rnacentral:rRNA from 1 species
AGAGUUUGAUUAUGGCUCAGGAUGAACGCUAGCUACAGGCUUAACACAUGCAAGUCGAGGGGAAACGAUAUUGGAAGCUUGCUUCCGAUAGGCGUCGACCGGCGCACGGGUGAGUAACGCGUAUCCAACCUGCCCACCACUUGGGGAUAACCUUGCGAAAGUAAGACUAAUACCCAAUGAUAUCUCAAGAAGACAUCUGAAUGAGAUUAAAGAUUUAUCGGUGAUGGAUGGGGAUGCGUCUGAUUAGCUUGUUGGCGGGGUAACGGCCCACCAAGGCGACGAUCAGUAGGGGUUCUGAGAGGAAGGUCCCCCACAUUGGAACUGAGACACGGUCCAA